rnacentral:SRP_RNA from 2 species
GCCGGGCAUGGUGGCUCAUGCCUAUAAUCCCUGCACUUUGGGAGGCUGAGGCAGGCGGAUCACCUGAGGUCAGGAGUUCCAGACCAGCCUGGCCAACAUGGUGAAACCCUGUCUCUA